AACUCAAGUCUAUGACUACGUAUCUGCUUUCUUGUUACCAAAGAAUUCUUCUCUCUGUGCAAAUAUCGGGCACAUGUGCUGACGUAGUUGAAUGUUGUCAUUUGGUCGCUUUUGUUGGGCCCUGCAGUGCUCUGGAGCUGGUAUGUAGACAUGCUCAGCAAUGUGACUCGAACGCCCCUCAUAGCUGGAAAUCGAAAUCGUGCUGGAGUGCAAUCACUUUAAUUAGAGUUGCUCUUAAAGUUCCAUUGCCCGCAUUAGAGCUGUGUGGCUGGGACAACGCCUAAAAGCAACAACAGGAACUACAACAUAAAAAAAAAAAACCACCCAAAUUAAGCCAACGACUUUCGCCCGGGCAA
rnacentral:misc_RNA from 1 species